rnacentral:lncRNA from 1 species
CUUCUAAUGAAUUAUUUUCUAAUUACAGGGGGUGGAUAUGAACCAGAAGACUAUUUAAAAUCAUCGAAGACGAUGAAGCUGGCAUACGUUGUGUUCAUUGCUAAGAGUGCACUGUAUGGCCUUGUCAUCUUUGUGUUCGUGUUGAGAAAGGUAAGGAUGAUAAACUUGUAAUUAUAAUCCAUAAUCUCAAACAGAAGUGCUGGAAGAAUAUUAACAACAUAAGCGUCAAAUGUUAUACAAAUCACAUGUAUAUGUUAGUACAAUAGAAAAAUCCACACAUUAUAUGGAUGUUAUAGAUAGAUAACCCCCCCUCUCUGAAUGUCUCAAUGUUUAUGUAAUAUUUGUUUCAGGGUUCAUGUGGAAAGUGAAUGAACAAAACAUAUCUGGAUUGUUGGAGUUGCCAAGAAAACUUCAUUUUCUCCAACCAUAAGAGAUGCUGUUUAUAUAACUGAAGAGUCUAUUAUUUUAUUUUAUUUUCUGAGUGUUUAUUCCAAUGAAAGCCUGCAUAUACUUCAGAUCAGAUUAAUCAUAAAAAUCUACUUUUUGAUUAUAUAUUAUUCUUUUGCUUGUUUCCUUGCUACUGUGUUUAGUGUUAAUUUCAUAGAAUUCUAAAAGAGACUUUACAGAGAUGAAUAUAAUUCAUUAUUUUUCACAAUAAGAGCUACUGUAUUUUGUGUUUAAUUCAAUUUGUUUCGCACAUAAAUAAAAUAAAAUCUAACACAUUAUCCACAAAGAAAAUUCUCAUUUAUUUUUAUAGCAACAUUGUUCACCAAUUAGCUAUUUUGAUAGCUUUUAUUUUCGCUGUAAUUCAUUUGGUAGAGCAUGCAUCACAGGUUUGAUUCCCAGGGAACACAGAUAAACUAUACCUUGAAUUGUUUUGAAUAAAAGCUUCUGCAAAAUACAUAUAUGUAAAAGUCAGUUUGUAGCCAAUAACCUUCAUAGGACUGACAAUAAUCUCCCAACUGCGUUCAAUCAAGUAACAACAUGGUAACAAUGAUGCAUCUGGUUGAUUAUAUUCUGUAGCCUAUGUGGUCUUUGUAUUCCCAGAGAGGCCCCCUAGUGAGUGCAUAGCUAUUUCUGGUCACUAAAACAUUGUUAUUAGAAAUAAAUAACUUUUUACUUCUUUAAAUGAACAGUUCUAUCAACUAAAUAAAAAUGAAAACAAUUUUCACAUUGUCAGUUGUUUCUCAUUGCACUUAUAGAUUAUUAUUUAUUGAUAUUUUAGGCUCCCAC